ACAGUUGUGGUUCAGCGGUAGAAUUCUCGUCUUCCAUUCCGGUGACCUGGGUUUGAUUCCUGGUCACUGCA
rnacentral:tRNA from 1 species